rnacentral:rRNA from 1 species
GACGAACGCUGGCGGCGUGCUUAACACAUGCAAGUCGAACGGUGAAGCGCCUUCCUUUUUGGUGGGUGUGGAUGAGUGGCGAACGGGUGAGUAACACGUGAGUAACCUGCCCCCUUCUUCUGGAUAACCGCAUGAAAGUGUGGCUAAUACGGGAUAUUCUGGGUCUGUCGCAUGAUGGGUCUGGGAAAGAUAUUGUUUCGGUGGGGGAUGGGCUCGCGGCCUAUCAGCUUGUUGGUGGGGUGAUGGCCUACCAAGGCGGUGACGGGUAGCCGGCCUGAGAGGGUGGACGGUCACACUGGGACUGAGACACGGCCCAGACUACUACGGGAGGCAGCAGUGGGGAAUAUUGCACAAUGGGCGCAAGCCUGAUGCAGCGACGCCGCGUGAGGGAUGGAGGCCUUCGGGUUGUGAACCUCUUUCGCCAGUGAAGCAGGCCUGCCUCGUUUGUGUGUGGGUUGACGGUAGCUGGAUAAGAAGCGCCGGCUAACUACGUG